CUUACCUGCGUGUCAGAGAUGCGCAGGCACCAGCCACGUCCUUAACCACCCGAGAUACACUUAUUGCUUGAGGAGGGGCUGUAAUUUAGGCUGGCUGAAGGAAGCUGCAGAUCCUCAUAGCGUGGGAAAGACUCAAGCUGCCGGCAUCCGACCGGGGAUUUAU
rnacentral:lncRNA from 1 species